GUGCUUGCUUCGGCAGUACAUAUACUACAAUUGGAACGAUACAGAGUAGAUUAGAAUGGCCCCUGCACAAGGAUGACAAAAAUUCAUGAAGCGUUCCAAAUAUUU
ensembl:snRNA U6 U6 spliceosomal RNA